rnacentral:rRNA from 1 species
GACUAACGCUGGCGGCGUGCCUAACACAUGCAAGUCGAACGAAGUAGCAAUACUUAGUGGCAGACGGGUGAGUAACACGUAGUCAACCUACCUUUUAGUGGGGGAUAACUAGCCGAAAGGUUAGCUAAUACCGCAUACCAUCGUCGGGGGGCAUCCUGUGACGAUGAAAGCAGCAAUGCGCUAAGAGACGGGACUGCGUCCCAUUAGUUAGUUGGUGGGGUAACGGCCUACCAAGACUCCGAUGGGUAGCUGGCUUGAGAGAGCGACCAGCCACACU